GACGAACGCUGGCGGCGUGCUUAACACAUGCAAGUCGAACGGAAAGGCCCUGCUUGCAGGGUACUCGAGUGGCGAACGGGUGAGUAACACGUGGGUGAUCUGCCCUGCACUUCGGGAUAAGCCUGGGAAACUGGGUCUAAUACCGGAUAGGAGCCAUUUUUAGUGUGAUGGUUGGAAAGUUUUUUCGGUGUAGGAUGAGCUCGCGGCCUAUCAGCUUGUUGCUGGGGUAAUGGCCUACCAAGGCGGCGACGGGUAGCCGGCCUGAGAGGGUGGACGGCCACAUUGGGACUGAGAUACGGCCGAGACACCUACGGGAGGCAGCAGUGGGGAAUAUUGCACAAGGGGCGCAAGCCUGAUGCAGCGACGCCGCGGGGGGGAUGACGGCCUUCGGGUUGUAAACUCCUUUCGCUAGGGACGAAGCUUUUUGUGACGGUACCUAGAUAAGAAGCACCGGCUAACUACGUG
rnacentral:rRNA from 1 species